rnacentral:lncRNA from 1 species
GGACUCCAGAGGACGUGGAGGAGAGUGCUGCUCCCCAGGGAGAAGGGCAUCGAUCAAGAGCCACUUCCUGCUCUCUGGACCGCGAGGGUGCAGCAAGGAGACAGAAUAAGCAAAAGCACGCCGCAGCUUCACCCCCGCAGCCCCGAGCGCGGAAGUCCUUCCUGGCGGUGAUGUGCUGGAGUGGAGUUGUGUCUCCGCCUUGCCCUCGAGUCUCGCAUUAGGCCUCCUUCACUUCGGACGGAGACCGGGGCCCUGAGACAUCUGAUUUCGUGACCCUGCUGUCCGUGACCAGCACCAUUAUUACGGUUGGCCCUUUGUCAACUUGUCUCCUGUGGGCCUUUUUACCAGUCUUUUCAAUGACAAUAUUUUCCUAUAUAUUAAAAAACAG